UACGUAGGGUGCAAGCGUUGUCCGGAAUUAUUGGGCGUAAAGAGCUCGUAGGCGGUCUGUCGCGUCUGCUGUGAAAACCUGGGGCUUAACCCCGGGCCUGCAGUGGGUACGGGCAGACUAGGGUGUGGUAGGGGAGACUGGAAUUCCUGGUGUAGCGGUGAAAUGCGCAGAUAUCAGGAGGAACACCGGUGGCGAAGGCGGGUCUCUGGGCCGAUAUUGACGCUGAGGAGCGAAAGCGUGGGGAGCAAACAGG
rnacentral:rRNA from 1 species